AACUAACGCUGGCGGCGUGCCUAACACAUGCAAGUCGUACGAGAAAGUCGGCUUCGGCCGAUGAGUAAAGUGGCGCACGGGUGAGUAAUGCGUGGAUAAUCUGCCCUUGAGUUCGGAAUAACGUACCGAAAGGUGCGCUAAUACCGGAUAAUACUGCACAACUACUGUUGUGUAGUCAAAGAUGGCCUCUGUUUACAAGCUUUUGCUGAAGGAUGAGUCCGCGUACCAUUAGCUAGUUGGUGGGGUAAUGGCCUACCAAGGCGACGAUGGUUAGCUGGUCUGAGAGGAUGAUCAGCCACACUGGAACUGAGACACGGUCCAGACUCCUACGGGAGGCAGCAGUGAGGAAUAUUGCGCAAUGGGGGCAACCCUGACGCAGCAACGCCGCGUGAGUGAGGAAGGUUUUCGGACCGUAAAGCUCUGUCGAGCGGGAAGAAAUGCAUGGUGGCUAAUAUUCAUCAUGCUUGACGGUACCGCUAGAGGAAGCACCGGCUAACUCCGUGCCAGCAGCCGCGGUAAUACGGGGGGUGCAAGCGUUGUUCGGAAUUAUUGGGCGUAAAGAGCGUGUAGGCGGCUGAAUAAGUCAGAUGUGAAAUCCCUGGGCUUAACCCAGGACGUGCAUUUGAAACUAUUCAGCUUGAGUAAGGGAGAGGAAAGUGGAAUUCCUGGUGUAGAGGUGAAAUUCGUAGAUAUCAGGAGGAACACCGGUGGCGAAGGCGACUUCCUGGCCCUAUACUGACGCUGAGACGCGAGAGCGUGGGUAGCAAACAGGAUUAGAUACCCUGGUAGUCCACGCUGUAAACGAUGUUCACUAGGUGUUGGGGGUAUUGACCCUCUCAGUGCCGCAGCUAACGCAUUAAGUGAACCGCCUGGGGAGUACGGUCGCAAGAUUAAAACUCAA
rnacentral:rRNA from 1 species